GAGCGAGUGAAACAGUGCAGUGACUGAAGAGAAUUCUCUCCCGUUUCCCAUGAUUUAUCACAGGCGAGGUCACGGCAGGUUAAAAUACUUGAACGCCGCGAUAGCAUACGUCCUGGCAUGGUUUUAUGAGUAGUCAUUCAUAACAUAUUUGUCGCAAAGCAUAAUUUCCAAGAUAGAACCCUGAUCCACAUGCAGUUUUUUUUUUCACAGCAACAACACAGGCGCAGUAACUCCUUCGUGGAGACUGCUUCCAUUUUCACAAUGUCCAGCUCCACGCUAGAGCUUCGGGGAAAGGGACCGAGGAAGUGACUGGUUCGCCAACUGAAACUACAAAUCCUAGAGCUGCAACUAUAUUUUAUAAAUGGCCCUCGUUUGGUUCCUGCAUAACAAAUAAUGUCUUCUCAUUGAUGGGGGCUGUUUCAUGCGCCUGCCUUUUUGGAGAAAGAAAACAACUUCUAGUCUCAGGCUUGUAUGAAUCCAGCACUGUUUUUCACAACUUGUUUUCGCCUCAGCGACUUGACAUGGCUCCCUAUCCAUCGCCGGUCCCCACGCUCCACGGUAACGAGAUUUUAAAAACUGUCCAUUUGGCUCCUUCCUGAGGUUUUACUCAUUUUGAAACUUUGCCACGCUGGCUGGCAUGUUUCACAUUUGCUUAUCUCUGAGCUUACUCCCAAGAGCUGCUGAACUUUCCCUUCCAUGUCACUAAGCUGGGACAGAGUGAAGACGGAGAGGAAAGAGUUACUGUCUCACAAGCUGUGACUUUGUCUGUCCAGAGUGGCCCUUGGAUGCAGCUCAUUAUUUGUGGAAAUAGUGUGUGCCACGGGCAAAAAUAACUUUUUAAAAAAAGCACAUCUCUGUACCCUCCUGAAGUCAUCUCAAAAUGAAGUCAAGAUUUCUCAUGAAACGGAGAGAGCUUUAUCAUGGCCCGAGUGGGUCCUUGAGUACUUGUCCCCGCCACAUUGUCUGCUCUGAGCAACCUGAGGGUCCAGACCAAGCUAAAAGAGGCUUCAUGAUGAGCCCUGGGACAGACAAGACUGGGAGCCUUGGUGAAAGGGAGGAGACCCUGUGUCCCCGGUUUUGCCAAGUCAGCCUGGCCCAUCCUCUGACAGCUAAAUCAACACUCUUUAUCCUGUGGCGACUGAUAACGCAUCCACCGCUUCCUGGUAAGAUCGUAACGCGGGAGGUCUUCCCUCUGAGUCGUCUCAAAGAUCUGCGAUUAGGGACAAUUAGGGACUGGUGUGCCUGCCUUUCCUCUCCUUUCAGCCAAGGAGGAAAUCCUGAUGGGACAUUAUCAGGGGCGAGACAUCAUCCGUCAGCCGCCGUCACAGGAACCCAGGGCUCAUCCAGACCCCACGCCAAUCUUUCCGCCUUUAUCUGCGCUCCCCAAAUGCCUCAGCCUGUUUGCUGAUAGAGGAAUCCGGCAUCUCCUCUUCUCAAGGACCCGAAAAAGAUUCUUCGAUAGCAAGAAACUAAGGUAGGCAUUAUGGAGUGUCAAGGAAAUUGGGAACGGGAAAUAGACACAGUGCCUUCCAUCAAGGAGCUUCCAACACUCCCACCGGGAAAAGGGGCAUCCGUGUACACACAGAGACAAGGGAAGCGCAUAACCACAGACCUGUAAUGGGAGGUACCCACCUUCCCGCGUGCCACCUGUCAGAACCCUUAGGGCUCACGUGACACCUGCGUGAGGAAGCAUCCUUCUCCCCUGCGUCGGUGCCCUCCUACCCCACACAGAAGCGAUUUCAUUAUAUUUCCAUCUAGGACUUCCCAUAUGGCUCACGACAUCAUUAUAUUUCUGUAGCAAACUGCAAAGCUAUCACCCUAGCAUAUACAGUAGCAUUUAAGUAACGGCAUAUUAAACUGCAGUCCUCAUUUCCAGAUGCUUUGCUUUAAAUUUGGAUAUAGCUGCAUCCGCUCUUGCGUGUUUUUUCAUUUGUCUCUUCCACCACAUUGUGCGCAAAAUGGAUGCUCCGCGAAUGCUUGCAAGUGAAUGGCUGGGCUGGAAAAGGCCGGGGGCCACGCCAGGAGAGAAAGAGGAACAAACAGGUUUCCAGGGAAGGUGGAUUUUGUGAGACAGUGGGAUGGAUCGCCACGUUCCCCUGAAGUUGGAGUUGCAAACCAGGUCUCCAAGGACCACGUUCAGCCCACCCGCAUGCUUACUGCGCUGGCGGAGUGGUGUGAACUUUUCGCAUGUGAACACCGGUGAUUAGCAUCUGCAUCCCCACUGAGCUGCACUUCCCGUCACUUCCUGCCUGCUCUCUGCAUCUCUGGUACCCGCCUGGUCCCUAAGGCCACCUGAGUUUGUCUCUUGCUCCAGAGCAGCCUGUUAGCUGCUUCCCUCUCUGGAGCUAGGCCUUCCUGGCCAAAACCCCUGCAGGAUUAAAGGACAUGUGUAUGGGUUUCCCCUAAUUUCUCAGCCAUCUCUUUAAAUGUAGAUUAAGAUCUCUUCUUUCUGGAGUUCCCGUUGUGGCGCAGCGAGAAUGAAUCUGACUAGUAUCCAUGAAGUUGGGUGUUCAAUCCCUGGCCUCGCUCCAUGGCGUGAGCUGUGAUGUAGGUCACAGAUGUGGCUCAGGUCCCAUGUGGCUGUGGCUGUGGUGUGGGCUGGCAGCUGUAGCUCCAAUUGGACCCCUAGCCUGGGAACUUCCAUAUGCCAUGGGUACAGCCCUAAAAAGCGAAAGAAAAAAAAAAUCUUUUCUUUCAGGGCCAAAUACAGAUCUGGGAAGAGAAGGGGCAAAGCAGUUAUUGAGGACACCCCCCCCCAUACAACAAGGCUUUAUUGCCUUUAAUCCCCACGACCAUAUUGAAAUGAAGCGUUACUCAUCCCCAUUUGACAGAUGAGGAGACUGAGACUCAGACAGGUUCCGUAACUUGGCCAAGGCUACAGAGCCAGGAUGUUCCCAAGACAGAACUCAGACCUAGAUCCGUGCGUCCCACCCGUUCCAUCUUAUCACAGCUCAGAGCGGCCAGGGAGGAACAGCCAUACGGAACCUCUGUUUCCCCGCGCAGAAUUCUGGGACAGAGCGUGACACGUGUCCUGAGCAUGCGAGUAAUUCCUGUUUAUCUGCAAUAAGGCGGGCGAGUCAUGUGCAGAUAAUCCAAAAAUAGUUUCUAAUUUUUCUUGGGAUAAAUAUAAAUUUUUGGCACCA
rnacentral:lncRNA from 1 species